rnacentral:rRNA from 1 species
GAUGAACGCUAGCGGGAGGCCUAACACAUGCAAGCCGAGCGGUAUUGUUUCUUCGGAGAUGAGAGAGCGGCGUACGGGUGCGGAACACGUGUGCAACCUGCCUUUAUCUGGGGGAUAGCCUUUCGAAAGGAAGAUUAAUACUCCAUAAUAUAUUGAACGGCAUCGUUUAAUAUUGAAAGCUCCGGCGGAUAGAGAUGGGCACGCGCAAGAUUAGCUAGUUGGUGAGGUAACGGCUCACCAAGGCGAUGAUCUUUAGGGGGCCUGAGAGGGUGAUCCCCCACACUGGUACUGAGACACGGACCAGACUCCUACGGGAGGCAGCAGUGAGGAAUAUUGGUCAAUGGGUGCAAGCCUGAACCAGCCAUCCCGCGUGAAGGACGACUACCCUAUGGGUUGUAAACUUCUUUUGUAUAGGGAUAAACCUACCCUCGUGAGGGUAGCUGAAGGUACUAUACGAAUAAGCACCGGCUAACUCCGUGCCAGCAGCCGCGGUAACAC